rnacentral:other from 1 species
UUUCCCCUGCGGUGUUCGUCAGGCCCAUAAUUCUUUGAACCCAUAAGCUUUGCUUAGGUCGCGAUCCUUGAUGUUACUGUUGUGCGCGUUCCAUGCGAACGUACCUGAUGUAACUGGCAAGCGGCCCUCUUGAACCCAGGUUCAAGAUAUUGGGCCAACGGCACAGGCGGGGGUCUU